rnacentral:misc_RNA from 1 species
GGAAGUAAAGUCGUAACAAGGUUUCCGUAGGUGAACCUGCGGAAGGAUCAUUAUUGUAUAACCGAGGUGCGAGGGCUGUCGCUGACCCGAAAGGUCGUGCACGCCCGAGUGCCCUCACACACAUCCAUCUCACCCCUACGUGCACCACCGCGUGGGUCCCCCUUUGGCUUGUUCGGAGGGGGGCUUACGUUUUCACACAAACUUUGUAUGCAGUGUAGAAUGUAUUUUUUGUUUUUGCGAUCACGCAAUCAAUACAACUUUCAACAACGGAUCUCUUGGCUCUC